UGUUAUGCUCCCAACUUCUGCCUCUGAGCACUUAGAGAAUGCCGUAUAUGUAGUAGCACUUUUCGAAGAAGGAAGAAAGGAGAAUGAUGGAAGCAUGGAGAUGAGGGAUGUCCACAAGGACCGCCAACUAAGACACACUCCUUAUAGAAUCCAACGCAACAGGAAGCUAGUGAAAUGA
rnacentral:lncRNA from 1 species